UUUUUUCUUUCUCGUCUUCGUUCUUCAUCCAUCUUCAUCUUCCCUAUCCUGUCAGGCAUGCAUGGCUAUCUUCAAUUCUCUGUGGAUUUUGAUCAAUCAUGGCCCGAAAACUUCGAAAAAAACCUCUGCUUCCAAGGAUGACCGCCAUUGCCGCCGCCGCGCCGCACGAAGAUGAAGAAAACUCAUUUUCUGAGACUCCAUUUUCUCCGUUCGAUCUCAUCCACCACCAGCCGCACACCUCCGCCGCGGCAUGCCUCAAUUGGAAGAAGAUCUGAAGAUGUGGUUGUGUUGGGGUGAUGAGUAGCGGCGGUGGAACACUCCGAUCUGGGUUGAAUGGUGGAUGAAUUGAGUCGUGAGUUGGGGGGG
rnacentral:lncRNA from 1 species